rnacentral:lncRNA from 1 species
GUUGUCAACGUUUUGAUCCUACUUUUCUCUGUGGUUAUGGAGUGGUUUUACCUGAUUAAUGCACUGGAGACCUUUUACUUUUAGUCUGCUUGUACUUUUUUCAUAUUUCUACAUGUAUAAUUCUGAGAUCCUAGGCAGGCUGAGGCCAGGCAAAAAUGAUAUGCAAAAGCAUCAGAGGAGUGUAUUAUGUACAAUGUAGCUUCUGAUGUCCUCAAUCCAUGAUGAAAUGGUAAGGUAUCAGUUCUGAAGUAGAUACAUUAGCA